UGCCAGAGAAGGCAAGAAACCACAAGUUAGCAUUGGCGUUGCUUUCCACCCCUGGAGACAGCUCUUAGCAAGUAAAGGGAUGAAGUUUGAUGCUGAACUGCAACGUUUCUUCUAGACGAUGGAGUUCUUUGCUACAUUUAGUUUAAGAGUUCACAACAAGCAAGAACACCUCGCUUAAGAAGAAGAGGGCGACACAGUUUCACUGCAGCAAUUUUGGGACACGCUGUGGUGUUGAGACAACACACAAUGUGGUGGUUAGCCAUUAUUACUGGCCUGGAGUGCAGGAAUACAUCCAUGAAUAGCUGUCCUGAACGAUUUUAUACUGAUAAUGUCGGCUGGGUCGCAGCCACCUCUUGCUCCGGCUGGACCGCAGCUCCUCCUGCUGGGCCGCAGCCACCUCCAGUCCCUUCUGGGCCGCAGCCAUCUUCAGUGCCCGAGCUGUAGCCAGCUCCUGUUCCUUCCGAGCUGCAGCAGCCCUCUGGUCCUGCUGAGCUGCAGAAGCCUUAAGUCUCCCUGGCUCUACCGGUUCCUCUGCCAGCCUCCCAGCUGCUGGCUACCAGUCCUGCUGCUCUGUCGCCAGCCUCCCAUCCUUCAGCCCUGAUGUCGGCCUCCUGUCCUUCAGCCCUGUCACAGGGCCUCUAGUCCCGCUGCCCUGUCACCAGCCUCCUGCUCAUAUCUCCAGCCACGUCGCCGGCCUCCAGAGCGGUCCUGCCUUCGCUGCCGGCCUCCAGCCCUUCCUCCAGAGGGGUUCCGCCGUUGCUGCCAACGUCCAGAGGGGUUCCCUCUUCGCUGCUGGCCUCCAGUCUGACCUCCAGCGGGGUUCCGCCUUAGCUGGUGACCUCAAAGAGGAGUUCUGUCUUCGGCGCCAGCUUCCAGUCCAACCUCCAGAGGGGUUCUGCUUUCGGUGCCACUGCUUUCCCACUAUGAGUUCGCCAUUUUGUCAUGUUUCUAGUGUUUUCUUACAAGGAACAGAUUUGUUGUAAUAUUAAGUUAUAGUGAGUAAAAUAAGUGGUAUGGUACAGGAGGAGUGAGGUUACUGUCAUGUUAGCAAGUGAGCAUAGCUAGGCUGUGUCUGCUAAUACUGCAUGAUAAACUCCUGAUGAUGAUGAUGAUGAUGAACAUAAUUAUAUCAUGAGCAGGAACUUAGAACAGUGAACUGUUGACUGGGACACCUUAAAUGUAGCAUUACAAUCUGUCUGACUUGACACAACAAUGCACGAUGAGGUGUCCUGAUACCAAAAUAACAGUAACAAUACAUCUCAGAUUGUAUUAUUGCACUUAUUGCAUAACGCAGGCAAAAAGAGAAGCUGUGUUCAAAUCGUCAUCCAGCUUUUAUAGGUUGAAGUCAGUUUAACCCUUGGUUAAUUCAGUUUCACCAGUGAGAGACAGCCGUCUACACAGGAGCCGUUUUAGCUGCAUUUUUCAGUUGUCUGUUUCACACGCAUCUGACUAAACCUUCUAUUUUUAUCAAUCCAGCUUUGUACACAGACUGUGUAACAAUGCGCUAUACUUGCGUAUGAGCAAUGCCAAAAUGCAGGUAACCUACAAUCAAUACUGUACCUGAACGCAUCCUGCGUAGACACAGACGGAGCACCAUGCUGCUGCUGCUCUGUUAACAUCCUGCUCACGCUACGCUUCCAGUAUAGGCAUGGUGCUAGCUUAACUGUAAAGGUGGGUUUAUGCUUGAAAAGAAGUUUGAUGUGUUGUCCGAUGUCACGUCGGAAGGCAAAUGUUUUCAUGGCUUUUCUGAAUGAAUGAGGUGGGGUGAAAAGGCUUCAUAGAAAGGGCAAGGGUCGUUAACAGGAAGUAGUCAUGCAAAGAAAACAUCAGUAAGUGGCGGUAACUUGCCAAUUUAGUAGCGUACUACCAGCGCACAACCAACAACAAAGAAAGAGAACAAAUCUGUUUCUUGUUAAACGAUAACAAGAAGGAAGAAACAGAUUGAACAAUUGUGACAAGAGGAUGACGAUGAAGAGAAGUCAUACGACAAUCUUUUCAUUCUUAUGUGGUUCUACGAGAAGCUGAAGAAAAAAAAAAGAAAAGGAAGAGGAGAUUUUCUGCCCGUCCGCUGAAUAAAAGGUGAAGGCACGAGUGAGAAUUUCACAUACUAUUGCAACAAAUGCAUGUGAUGGACGAUGAGACGCAUUAUGAAUAUUUCAGGAUGACUGUGGGGAAGUUUGAUGAGCUGAAAUGGUGACUGAAACCCAACAUAAAGCACGCCACACAGUAUUAGAAUGCUUAAUGUAGUAAUAGGGUAGAUAAGUAGAUAAUCCCAGUGCUUGGCCAUUAAUGGUUUGACAAGUUGACUCAGCAUGUAAUCUGUCUAGUUAUGAUGGCAUACAUAUCAGGCCAUAGCAUCAUCAUUUAAACGAGUUCAUAUUUUUAUUUUUGAGGGUAUUAAUGUGGGAAAGAAUGCUUUGUCUCUUUCAGAUAUAAAUGGUGAAAUAAUUGUACAAACUCUACUCUUAUUGUAUGUUGUGGGGUUGUCAAGGUAGUGUUAAAUUUUAAAUGUAAGCCAUUCGACUGUCGAACAAACAGUUCUGGCUGAGUAUCCUGGUUACCUUAAGUAGGAACAAUAGCAAGUACUUUUCACCUAGCAAGUCUGAAACAACUAUUUUCUGUGGCUAUGUUGUUAAAGCAUGAUAACUUUAAUUUAGUUCCACUUAGUAAGACUCUUUCUCCAACUGGGGGAAAUAGUAUGCAUGAGGUUGGUAUUUGUUUCUGGAUUGGA